ensembl:lncRNA
UAAAAAACACCAGCCGCCACUGCGUUUCUAAACAUUCUUUGAGAGAGCAUGAUCACUAUAACAAGUCUAUCCUAUAACAAAUAGAAUAUGUAUAGUAUAGUGACAAGUUGUCACUAGUACCAGCAGGUGUCUGUGUUGCACUGCGUGCAGCGUGGUUGCAUGGGUUGUAACGGCAAAGUGUGCUUCACCUAAACCAGGGGUCUUUUCAGGCCAUGGUCCUGCAAACUGAUGGCGAGAUGGAGCAGGGACGCCCUAUUCUAUUCGAGUUUGGUCUGCCAUCUUUUAUUUUUGAGCUUUACGUUCUUUAGACGUGAGCGUAAACGCGAUCUGAUUGGCUAGUGCCUGUCCUGUUGUAUUUGCAUGACAGAAGCUGAGAGAGCUCCUGUGGGUAGCUGAACGUGUGUAUUGCGGACUGGAAGAUAACAAAAACUAUUCUGUAUUUGUCUAAUCUUGAACACCAGCUUCUGGUCAGUCUGGUAAUGAUGUGCUGCAGCGAAGGUUUACAACAAGCAGCACAGGCUGCGCUGUUGGUAUUCUGAACCGACUAAAAGGCUGAGAGGAGCUAAAUGCAACUAUUGAUUAUCUUAAUAAUUGAUUGUCUACAUAUUAAUUAUCUUCAUUAUUAUUUACUGGGUAUUGCGUCAAUUAAUAGAGAAGUUAAAUAAAAAUACUAUUUAUUUCUCACAGCUUAUUGGUAAUUAUUGAUUGAGCAACAGCAAGUUAACAUACGGUAUAUAUUGGGUUUUUUUCUGAGCAAGUACCAUAAGAAUCAUUUUUCUUUUAUCACGAAAGAGCAUAAACAGUCAAUGUUCAGUAAGGUUCCUUGUUAGAGAGGUUAAAGUGUUUUUUUAGUCUGAAAAGUUUGUAUUUCCUUUGAAUGUGAGCUAACAAUGCUUAGUGAUGCAGGUUGAGCCGUUGCCCGAGGACAAAGUUAACUUUUAACAUCCACAGUUUUAUCUAUUCUUCCUACUUUACAUUUUCUUACUCUGCACUGAGCCAGUUGCUGAGACACACACAAGGUCAUUUACGCUUUCUGAAGAAACUUCUCUUCUUCUGAACAAUAUGACCAGCAAGAGAAAACCACCUUUCACAGGCUUCAGAUGUUGUACUUCAGACCGCUUCAGUCUGCAUGUCGUCAGUGAGAACAGUUGGUGCUCGUUUUAACGCCGUCACUCCAUUUUCAUAAAACGUAUGUUUUCUCCUCACGGUUGUGCGUGUUGUUAGUCUGCUCCAGUGGUUGUUGUAGUACUUCAGAUCGUAGUACUUGAUAAGAUACUUCCGGUUUGCAGUGAUUACAAAUAGCUUCUGGUCGAGAUUUCAAAUGAAAAUGUCCAUUUAAAAGCGCAGUACCUUUCUCCAUUUUCUUAAUGUGCGCAGCAGCGUUAAGCCCCUCCCAGUGCAAAAGAAAGAAAUGCUGUCAACACGUGAUAAAACCAUUGUCAGCGUUAAUGGAUUGUUAAGUUAACACAUUUAUAACGCGUUAAUGUGCCCAGCCCUAAUUUAUUUUUAUUUAUCUAUAUAUUUUUAAUGAGACCGUCUUAGCCUGAUGGAAUUGUUUAAAUUGUAUGUGCUUCAUUUCAUAAAAUGUAUUGAUGCUUAUUAAUAACUAAUUAUUAAUGUAAUUGUCAGAGGCAUUUGAACUCUCAAGAUGAUGUUGGGACAUUUGCUAGGCUUAUAAUGUCAACGUUUCUAAAAACGACACUAAAAACCUCUAAACUGUUAAUUAAUCACCCAACCUUGAUUCAACAUUAUAUUUUUAGAAUAUGUUGAAGUGAAAUUAUUAUUGAAUUAACUCAUUUUUUUGUGAUUCUAACCAGAUUAACCAGCAGGUCCACAAAUAAUUGAAAAAGGAUCCUACAAAUUAGCUUUGCUAAAUUACACUUUUGUAAAUGUCUAUGCAACUGUCUUUCUCUUCUGCUACGCUUUCUCUUUUUCUCCUGUUCUCUCCUCUAGUUUCCUCUCCUUUUCCUUAAGCCUCUCCUCUCGCCUCCCUCUUCUUUGAUUUCUCUCCAUCAGCUUGCUUGUCUAAUUGCUGCUGAUGGAGGUUGGCUCACUAAAUGGCAGAUGCUCAAACCCAGAGCCUGCUUCUGCUACCUGUUUGUACCAAUUAAUAGGCCCAUGAUACCGCGCUGACGCCUCUUCAAUGGGUUAAAGGAUGCCACAAUUAGCCACUCAUUUGAAUAGCCUCCUGCUUAGCGAGAGGACCCUUAGUGCAUCAUCUCCAACUGUGGGCUCCGCCUUUCAUCUAUUUGCAUUUUCCUUGCUGACUCGCAAAUGAGGCAUGGAGAGGCCGGGAACCCCCGCGUGUUGAGCAAACAGUCUUUUCACCAGAUCCCCAAAUUAGACUUACGGGUAGCUGCAGAGUUGCAUGGCAAAAUGCUCGUCAGACAUGAGAAGGCCGGUUCCCAGUGGUCUGCAUGUGGACACAUUUGGUUCUCUUCUGGCCUGCUGGGCUUUGGUUAGUGUUACUCAUGAGGCGAUACUAAAUCUGUUUAGAGAGUAAUCCCUACUACAAGACAAUAUCACAUCUUCUUAAGCAUUGUUGCUUUCUGACACACCGCUCACUGAAAGCUUUGUGGUUGUUCUUAUACAAUGGAUGUGAAGGAGAAGCCAACUCGCCUAAACCAACAGACACAGGAGCAGCGUCUCCCCUCAGGUCCUCUCUCUGGUGAGAUCAACUGCACCUCCGUUGGCACCAUCUCCUCUUUCUGCGCUUUAACCUUAGUGGUUGUGUCAUUGUUGUACAUGUUUAAUAUCACAUAUGUGUGUGUGU